CAGGAGUUUGGAGCCAGCUUUCAGUGGCCCAGAUUUGUGACUAAUCAGCUGCUAAAAACCAACACCUAGUGCAGUUCCUCACAGAACCUAUUUACUCUCCUGUAUCGGUAGCAUGUGGAAGAAAGGACAAGAGGAGAGGCAGAGCUAUAGAGGAGCCUGUACCAGCCCACUGAAAAAAAGCAGACUAGAAAUAAGAAAUGGGUCUGUUGCAAAUGAAGUGGAAGGUCGAAGGAGCUUGCUGGCCCUUGGCUGAUGUGUGCAUCUCAAAUUUAAAUUCCAGAAGAGUCACAGAAGAGGACAAAAGGACGAAGAAGUGCAACAGAAAGGCACUGAACUCACAAACAGGGGAGAGUUGCUCUCUGUGGGUAUGUCUGAAAUGUCUUCUAAUUCUAAAUUAGCCAAUGGUACUUGUGUUGGCUUAGCUGCAUGGGAGAUUUCUGCCCACCAGUCCCUGGCUUGUUGCAGUGAAGAU